rnacentral:rRNA from 1 species
CCUACGGGAGGCUGCAGUGAGGAAUAUUGGUCAAUGGACGAGAGUCUGAACCAGCCAAGUAGCGUGAAGGAUGACUGCCCUAUGGGUUGUAAACUUCUUUUAUAUGGGAAUAAAACGUUCCACGUGUGGGAUUUUGUAUGUACCAUAUGAAUAAGGAUCGGCUAACUCCGUGCCAGCAGCCGCGGUAAUACGGAGGAUCCGAGCGUUAUCCGGAUUUAUUGGGUGUAAAGGGAGCGUAGGUGGAUUGUUAAGUCAGUUGUGAAAGUUUGCGGCUCAACCGUAAAAUUGCAGUUGAAACUGGCAGUCUUGAGUACAGUAGAGGUGGGCGGAAUUCGUGGUGUAGCGGUGAAAUGCUUAGAUAUCACGAAGAACUCCGAUUGCGAAGGCAGUUCACUGGACUGCAACUGACACUGAGGCUCGAAAGUGUGGGUAUCAAACAGGAUUAGAUACCCGGGUAGUC